UACAGAGGUGGCAAGCGUUGUUCGGAAUUACUGGGCGUAAAGGGCGAGUAGGCGGCCUUCUAAGUCGAACGUGAAAUCCCCGGGCUCAACCCGGGAACUGCGUCCGAUACUGGAAGGCUUGAAUCCGGGAGAGGGAUGUGGAAUUCCAGGUGUAGCGGUGAAAUGCGUAGAUAUCUGGAGGAACACCGGUGGCGAAGGCGACAGCCUGGACCGGUAUUGACGCUGAGGCGCGAAAGCCAGGGGAGCAAACGGG
rnacentral:rRNA from 1 species